GCCGGGCUAGCUCAAUCGGUAGAGCGUGAGACUCUUAGUCUUCACGGCAUCUCAAGGUUGCGGGUUCGACCCCCGCGUUCGGCU